AGAGAGCUUGCUCUCUGAUUCAGCGGCGGACGGGUGAGUAAUGCCUAGGAAUCUGCCUGGUAGUGGGGGACGACGUUUCGAAAGGAACGCUAAUACCGCAUACGUCCUACGGGAGAAAGCAGGGGACCUUCGGGCCUUGCGCUAUCAGAUGAGCCUAGGUCGGAUUAGCUAGUUGGUGAGGUAAUGGCUCACCAAGGCGACGAUCCGUAACUGGUCUGAGAGGAUGAUCAGUCACACUGGAACUGAGACACGGUCCAGACUCCUACGGGAGGCAGCAGUGGGGAAUAUUGGACAAUGGGCGAAAGCCUGAUCCAGCCAUGCCGCGUGUGUGAAGAAGGUCUUCGGAUUGUAAAGCACUUUAAGUUGGGAGGAAGGGCAUUAACCUAAUACGUUGGUGUUUUGACGUUACCGACAGAAUAAGCACCGGCUAACUUCGUGCCAGCAGCCGCGGUAAUACGAAGGGUGCAAGCGUUAAUCGGAAUUACUGGGCGUAAAGCGCGCGUAGGUGGUUUGUUAAGUUGAAUGUGAAAGCCCCGGGCUCAACCUGGGAACUGCAUCCAAAACUGGCAAGCUAGAGUAUGGCAGAGGGUGGUGGAAUUUCCUGUGUAGCGGUGAAAUGCGUAGAUAUAGGAAGGAACACCAGUGGCGAAGGCGACCACCUGGGCUAAUACUGACACUGAGGUGCGAAAGCGUGGGGAGCAAACAGGAUUAGAUACCCUGGUAGUCCACGCCGUAAACGAUGUCGACUAGCCGUUGGGAUCCUUGAGAUCUUAGUGGCGCAGCUAACGCAUUAAGUCGACCGCCUGGGGAGUACGGCCGCAA
rnacentral:rRNA from 1 species